AAAAAAUAAGAUUUGGAAGGAUUGCAAACACUUAACAAAUGACCAAAGAACACAGAAAUCAACAACGUUAGGUCACCAUACGGCUUUCAACUAUGAGCAAGGCCAAUACCGCACAGUCAGCUUUAAAAUGCCUCGAAAUGACAAAUGUUAAACAAUUUCUACAAUAAAACUAACGUCCUAAAUUAGGUACAGAAAAUGAACGAAAAACAAAUAUGUAAAACAUCAAUAAACGACAACAACUGAAUAACGGGCUCCUAGUAGCGGAAAGGCACGUACAUACAGAAUGUGGCGGGGUUAAACAUGUUAACGGUAUCCCAACCCUCCCCUAACAUAGGAAGUAAUGUAACGGUAAUCAAGUAUGUUUUAACACAGUAUUCUUUUGUUCAUGCUGACUUCCAAGUUUAACAGAUAUUUAUCCUUACAAAGAUUGGUCCAGCAAGCCAUUUGAUUACUUCUCUCGUUUGCUCUCAUGGAUAAUAUUCUCUUUAGAAAGCAUAUAACUGUUCUGUAUAUGUUAUGUUUUCUUCAAAUUCAUUACCCCUGUAACUGUAUGAUAUUUUUAGGUGAAAGCUUGUGCAUUU
rnacentral:lncRNA from 1 species